GGUUUGGCGGCAUAUAGUUAACUG
rnacentral:sRNA from 1 species